rnacentral:rRNA from 1 species
AUUGAACGCUCGCGGCAGGCCUAACACAUGCAAGUCGAGCGGAUGAAGGGAGCUUGCUCCUGGAUUCAGCGGCGGACGGGUGAGUAAUGCCUAGGAAUCUGCCUGGUAGUGGGGGAUAACGUCCGGAAACGGGCGCUAAUACCGCAUACGUCCUGAGGGAGAAAGUGGGGGAUCUUCGGACCUCACGCUAUCAGAUGAGCCUAGGUCGGAUUAGCUAGUUGGUGGGGUAAAGGCCUACCAAGGCGACGAUCCGUAACUGGUCUGAGAGGAUGAUCAGUCACACUGGAACUGAGACACGGUCCAGACUCCUACGGGAGGCAGCAGUGGGGAAUAUUGGACAAUGGGCGAAAGCCUGAUCCAGCCAUGCCGCGUGUGUGAAGAAGGUCUUCGGAUUGUAAAGCACUUUAAGUUGGGAGGAAGGGCAGUAAGUUAAUACCUUGCUGUUUUGACGUUACCAACAGAAUAAGCACCGGCUAACUUCGUG